AACGAACGCUGGCGGCAGGCUUAACACAUGCAAGUCGAGCGCCCCGCAAGGGGAGCGGCAGACGGGUGAGUAACGCGUGGGAACGUACCCUUUUCUACGGAAUAACGCAUGGAAACGUGUGCUAAUACCGUAUGUGCCCUUCGGGGGAAAGAUUUAUCGGAAAAGGAUCGGCCCGCGUUGGAUUAGCUAGUUGGUGGGGUAAAGGCCUACCAAGGCGACGAUCCAUAGCUGGUCUGAGAGGAUGAUCAGCCACACUGGGACUGAGACACGGCCCAGACUCCUACGGGAGGCAGCAGUGGGGAAUAUUGGACAAUGGGCGCAAGCCUGAUCCAGCCAUGCCGCGUGAGUGAUGAAGGCCUUAGGGUUGUAAAGCUCUUUUAUCCGGGACGAUAAUGACGGUACCGGAAGAAUAAGCCCCGGCUAACUUCGUGCCAGCAGCCGCGGUAAC
rnacentral:rRNA from 1 species